rnacentral:lncRNA from 1 species
GUAAUGUCUUCAUUCUGCUAUCAAACAUCAUUAAGGGCAAUGGUAACAUCAUCGGUCUCAGCAGCAGCAUUAGAUUAACACAGUGAUUGGCAACCUACAAAUGCCAGGCACUUGGAAGCAGCAUACCACAUCUUCAGUUUACAUCUUUUCCAUACUCUGCUCUUUGUAGGAUCUUGCAGAAGUCAGGACGGACCCACCAAAAAUCCAGACAGGGUGGCAGACAAAGCUACAAUGGAUUUCUGCUUAUUGCUCUGUUCAGUAUAUCAGUAUCAAUAGAUAUUGGAUUAACGAGGAGGAGCUGAAUAAAUGGAAACAUGCAAGCAAUCUUUAUAUGUAUUGGUUUCGAGCAGCUGCAUCUUGUGAAGACAAGGCUUAGAGCUGCGCUGUUCGGAAGAAGCGAGAUUGUCUUCCCUUACAGCUACGACGCUGCAUCGCUCUCGGCGUAUCCUGCUUUUUCCCCAUUUACCUGGGCGGCUGCUGCUGCUGUUUCUGCUGCUGCUACUGGGGCUGCUGCAGUCUCACUGCCUGUGCUUCACCCUGGCAUGUCUGAUUUGAGACUCACUCGUCUGCACACUGCUAAGGAAGAGCAGCGAUGGAACUUUGUGCGCAUUUUUUUCCUAUUGCUGCUGGAAAAGAAGGGUUGCAAUGUAGGGUGUUUUUCUGGGGGUUGAGGUGGGCUGUUAAUCUAAGGUGGGAUGGGAGAAAGUUUAAGGAAAUAUGACGCAAAGUAAUUCAGUACACAACAAGGGCAUCAGCAGCAAGAAUCCAGCCUUUGUGGCUCGAAAGGAUUAACGUGGGAGAAGCCACAGUGAUGCAGUAGUGCUUCACCUCAGCAUUGUGCUGGAGAUGGAUAAAUAAAGGUACCCGUUGUGUCCGCCUGUGAGGGUAA